rnacentral:sRNA from 1 species
UUGGUAGCCCAUGAGACUGAAUCCUCUGUUUAUCCAAAGAACAGCUAUAGAUGGACAGAGGCAGUGCAAGACUCCCACAUUCACCUUCCUUUACCAGUGCCUCUCCCUGCCCUGCCCUCCAGACACUCAUUCCAUCUUUGUGCCUCAUUCAUUCACGGGCCUUUCAGCAGAGGGCUUACCAACAAAUCAGCACCA